rnacentral:rRNA from 1 species
UACGAAGGGUGCAAACGUUGCUCGGAAUUAUUGGGCGUAAAGCGCACGUAGGCGGCUUGGCAAGUCGGAUGUGAAAUCCCUCGGCUCAACCAAGGAAGUGCAUCCGAAGCUGCUGAGCUUGAGUACUUAAGAGGAUCGUGGAAUUCCCGGUGUAGAGGUGAAAUUCGUAGAUAUCGGGAGGAACACCAGUGGCGAAGGCGGCGCUCUGGGAAGAUACUGACGCUGAGGUGCGAAAGCGUGGGGAGCAAACAGG